GUAUGUUGUGCUUUAUCUAUUCAAAGCACUCUACCAGUCUUGAGUCAUUAAUCCUUAAAACACUUCUCUGUGAGAUAAGAAUUUUGCAGAUUGGGAAACCAAGGCAGAGACAUCAAGUGACUUGUCCAAGAUUACGCAGCAAGUAAGUACAACACUGAUCAAUAGUUCUGAAGCAAGUCCCAUCCAGCCCUCAUCUUGGAGAAUACGGUUCUGUUGCUAGGUAUUGGGGGUUUGUUUCAAACAUCAAGUUCCAUCAGGAGGCUGAAGACACACACCCCAGAAAAAAUACCAAUUGCAAUGAAUCUCUCUCUCUUUUGUCUCCAUCUCUUCAUGUAAUUGUGAUCUGGAUGGGAGAACAAUUAGUUCACACAGGACUUCAUCCUAUGUUCAUUGAAAGGAGCAGCCAAGCUCCCAUUGACUUUGACAGUACAGGAUCACGGGCCAUAAUUUAAGGACAAGGCACAAUAUUUCAUACAUGAGUUAGAACGAUAAUCUUGCACUUACAUAGUAUCUUUCAUUGACAACAAGUACACAGUUUUGCAUCUCAUUUGAAAUAUGGCAUCUCCAACAUUACAACAUCUCCCCUCCUAACGUCCAGCUGAUGCAUGUUUCCAAUACUGACUCACAGGGACGAAUAACACAUACUGAAUCACCACCAACUCCUGAGCCCUUUUUAUAUAGCAUAAAGAAACAAAAGAGGGCACAAGCCCAAUUUCUUCCCUUUGCAGGUCACCUUUAAAAGUUCCUUUGUAUCCCCUACUGCCCACCAUGCACUCAUUUUAAGUCCAACUCCUCUUUACCGGUGUCCAAAAAUACUUAUUAGCUUCGGCCCUGAUUAAUAUGAGACAUUUACCAUGACCACAGUUUGGGGGCGUUGGAAUUCAUUGGAAGAUGGGUGCAUUGCACACUGCCCAAGGAUUAGAAAAUAUCAAUGGUUCUCCUCUGAAUACAUAACUGAGUGGCUCUCCUUAUGAGUGACAACAUGAUGGGGAGAAAGAUAUGUCUGUCAUCCAGUGAGGACAGCACACAGUCCUGAAGGCAGAACAAUGUCUCCAUUAUUUUAACGCAGGCCCUGUUUCCAGCUGAAAAAAAUCUAAAUGACAAGAACACUGAGGGUUCCUUUAUUUUUGCUGUUUGUUUCCCUGGUAACACAGACAUGCUUCCCUGGUGGAUAGCCAUCCAUUCCCCUUUGUUUUAAGAUGUGGACAGGUCAAGGAUGCACUCAGUUUUUCCCUUCAAUGGGUCAAAAUGGCACCUGUUAUCCCUUGAGGAUAUACACAUACACACGGACUCUUCUACUGCUGCCAACCUCUACCUUAUAAGAGGCUGAAGAUUUUUACCAAUGCCUGUUUCCUUUCUUAAAGGAAAAGGUGCCUCCAAAGGCUGCUGAAACCCCAGAGCAGGGGGUCAGAAGACACGGGCAUAGGACCAAUAUUCCAGUAUCACUUGCCUCCCAUGCAUUAUGGGACUGGGAGGGACCGGCUAACAAAAGCAAGAACUCAAGGGACAGUGGCAUUCGCAUUGAGGGGGUGGAACAGAUGGCCAAGGCUUAGUGUACUGCGAGGGUUCUUUCCUUCCAGAGCUCCAGCAAUCUUUUCCAGUAGAAAGCCUACUGAAAAAUUCUGACAAGACGAAGCUGUAUUUGCCAGCCUGAAAUGGAAAAACAUGAUCUUGGAAGUUAGUCAU